GAUGAACGCUGGCGGCGUGCCUAAUACAUGCAAGUCGAGCGAAUGGAUUAAGAGCUUGCUCUUAUGAAGUUAGCGGCGGACGGGUGAGUAACACGUGGGUAACCUGCCCAUAAGACUGGGAUAACUCCGGGAAACCGGGGCUAAUACCGGAUAACAUUUUGAACCGCAUGGUUCGAAAUUGAAAGGCGGCUUCGGCUGUCACUUAUGGAUGGACCCGCGUCGCAUUAGCUAGUUGGUGAGGUAACGGCUCACCAAGGCAACGAUGCGUAGCCGACCUGAGAGGGUGAUCGGCCACACUGGGACUGAGACACGGCCCAGACUCCUACGGGAGGCAGCAGUAGGGAAUCUUCCGCAAUGGACGAAAGUCUGACGGAGCAACGCCGCGUGAGUGAUGAAGGCUUUCGGGUCGUAAAACUCUGUUGUUAGGGAAGAACAAGUGCUAGUUGAAUAAGCUGACACCUUGACGGUACCUAACCAGAAAGCCACGGCUAACUACGUGCCAGCCGCCGCCGUAA
rnacentral:rRNA from 1 species